rnacentral:rRNA from 1 species
AAUCCCUACGGGGGGCAGCAGUGAGGAAUAUUGGUCAAUGGGCGGGAGCCUGAACCAGCCAAGUCGCGUGAGGGACGACGGUCCUAUGGAUUGUAAACCUCUUUUGUCGGGGAGCAAGGCCCGCCACGUGUGGCGGGAAGGAGAGUACCCGAAGAAAAAGCAUCGGCUAACUCCGUGCCAGCAGCCGCGGUAAUACGGAGGAUGCGAGCGUUAUCCGGAUUUAUUGGGUUUAAAGGGUGCGUAGGCGGAAGGUUAAGUCAGCGGUCAAAUGUCGGUGCUCAACCCCGGCGAGCCGUUGAAACUGG